CUAGGCUAGGUUGUGGCUUUUAUUACUCAGGCUCACAACCAACAAGCAGUGCUGUGCAGCAGAUGCUCCUGAGUUGUGCUUUUGCAGUGGUCACCGCUGAUGGGAAUAGCUGAGAGGGUGGAAGUAAGCAGAGGAGCAUUCCUCCAUGAAAUCUUCGCUGGUGCAGGUACAGCACUUGGAUGCAAGGGCUACUCUGAUGAAAGUAUUUUCUGAAGUGACUAAUACAUCAGUACAGACUGAAUGCAUUACUUCGGAUUUCUGAUCCCCAAGGAGACAUGAAUGCACCAGGGUCUUCUGGAAGAGUGUUUCUGCCCCAGGGCACUUCGCUGCCCAGCUAGCCCAAACAAGAGGUGAGGCUGGGACCAGGCACUGGGAGGAGAACGGAGACACCCCAGAACCCAGAGGCCACUCAAAGAAACACCAGGUUGCCGGACAGAGAGGCCGGUGCUGCAUCCAGGACACCCCACAGUCCCCCACUGUAUCACACUGGUUUGGUUUCUCCCCAUAGAUGAGCAAAGUGCAGCUUUUGUAUGGUGAGGUGAAUACAGUCCUGGGUUUAAAGCACAGGACUGAGAGUCAGCAGUGCUGGGCACUAGUGCCAGUGUGCGAAUGACAAGUUUUGGCAGGUUAGUGAAUGCAUCUCUACGCAUUAGUUUCUCCCUCUGUGGAAUAUGAAUAACGGCUGCUUCACAGCAGUAUUUGUUAUAGUGAUGGUAUUCAUAUUUAUGAAGCCCUUUCUAGAUGGAAAAAAAUAAAAGCUUAAAAUUCUUGUAAAAUUCAUUACUAUGAAGAGGAUACCUUAGUGCACAUAACAAUUCUGUGUAUCAGGGAAUCAUUGAUUAACCAGCUGAACCAUGGAAAUCUCUUUGCCUGCAUUAAUUUUUCAGUGGCUUUAGAGAUAAUAAGUGAUAUUUGAAUGUAUCUGAAAUAUUAGCAAGGACUUUAGACUGCAGCAUUUCCCAGUGUAUUAAAACUCUCCAGCCAUGUUUCUCAUUUGGCUCAUUUGAUUUUAUGCAAUAGUUUUAUGAAUGCUCAUCCCUGUUUGUGUUCAGCAUUAGAGACAUGAAUUGGACUGAAAUCACUCUUGGACAGAGCUGGGAUUAUCACUCCUGCUGAUGACUAUGCUAUUUGGAAUUGUGUUUUUUGAAAGCAUUUAAUAGAGGAAACUGGACUUCCAGCUUGUGUUGUGCUAAAAUUUCCUGAUAAUUGUGUGGCUUUGACACGGUGAGUGAAAGAAGGAUAGAUCAAAGGAUCAUAUCAUGAGGCGGUCAAGGAUAUUGAGUUGGAUCAUGCCGAAUAUAUGUUGUUCAGAGCACGUCUUGGUGCUCUUUAAUGUAAGCCAUAGAGAACGAAGCAAAGGAAAGAAGAGAAGAAAGAAGAAAUACACCAUCACUUUCUUUGACAAUAUCAACUUUGGAAUUCAGCAAAUAUUGCUUAAAAUGCCUGUUUCAUUGCUUGCUUUCCUCCACCCAUCCAUGCCAGAGCGCAGCAAUCUUGGUCAACGUGUGUGUAACCUCAUUGGCCCGGAGUGCGCUCCUGCUCCUGGCCUGAGGCCAGUUCGUGCCCUGCCACAGGAGCUGCUGCAGAUGCCCCCCUCCUUCUCUUGGGAGCUAGUUUUAAGCUGAGACUUCGUGCCCAGCCUGGGCCAUGCUGCAGCUGCGUUGCGCCCUGCAGGACUGCAGGGCAGUGUGGUGCUGGCCCUCGUUCCCAGGGCUGCCCUCUGGCCGGGCUCCUUGAAGGGCUGCAUUCUCCACGAUGCAGCGAGCACACAUUUUCCUUUAAUUAAGCGAAGAGGCAAAGUAUUGAAGUCGUACAACCCUGGAUUCUUUGUGAAAGACAUUAUAGACCUUCAAACAGUCCCAUAGGGAAAGAUGUGGCCUUAAAUGCUCAGCUAGUCCUUCCAUAAGGCAAUACACUGUUAUAGGAAAAUGCAAUUUAAUACUGAUUUGAGACAAAGCAUUUCAAACCAGCUGCAUGAGUGAAAACAAAGCAUUUAGAUUUGGAAAUAUGCUUCACUUUGAUCAAAAAUACUAUAACAGAUGUUUCAAACUUUAUUUUUUUCUCAAUGUCCAUUCCAAAAAAAUUUUUCAGUGUCACUUUUUGGCCUUGAUUUAUGGUGGAAAUAUUCAAAUGCUGUCAGAAUUCACUGAAGGAUAAAAAUCCUAAAUGCCACUCAGCUCUUACCAUGAAGCUGUAGUGAAGUGGCAUGAGGGAGCAGUGUGCUUGGGGAAGAGGAGGGGGCUCUACUGCCAGGAAUGCAGACAGGGAGGAAGCACAAAACAGGAUCCCUAGAAGCACUGAGAUCUGGGAAGAGAGAUGGAGUGAAACUAAAAUACCGAAAAAGAGGAAAGAACAUACGUGACUGAGGGAAUGAGGUUGUUCUUGUUAGCAAGUGAUAAAUAUAGAGUUGUACUUAUGCCCUAGCAGUGUCUUCUGUGGGAUUAACAGAUACUUCCACGACUAUGAGAUAGCUGCAGGUUAUAGACAGUAUAUGCAUCGAAAAGAAAGAGAAAAGCAGGAGAGGGAGAGUGAAGGAGGGAUGCCUAGGAAGGCUGCGGGGCUGCUCUUUGCAGGCAGGCCUGGUUUCUGCCGCUUUCCCUGCAGAGGGAGUAUAACACUAUAAAUGAAGCGUGGAGAGCAGGGCGGUGGGGGGCUGGCUGCUCAGGAGCAGAAGUCUGGUCAGCUAACAGACUUCGGGGGACUCCAGCAGAUGCUUUAUAGCAUAUUCCUUUUAUUUGGUACUUCCAUUUGUAAAGCACACGUUUUCAUUUAUUAAACUAUUUAGCAACCUAACAAUAUUAUAUAUGAUAUAUAUGUUGUAUAUGAUAAAGGUUAAUUAAUGGGUGUGACUAACGAAAUAUAGUUUAUGAUAUUGUGAAGCGAAUGUGUAGCAUGGAAAAAAAAUAAGGCCUCCUGGUAUGUACACAGGUUCAGGAUGUGGAUUUCCAGCUGAGGCAUGUGAGCCUAAAAUUUCUUCCCGCUAAUGUGGUAGCACUGGCACCCCUGGGUGUCAGUGGAGCCCAGACUCAUCAGUGGCUGCAUGGAGCUUACAGCGUGGAAAAACGAGUAUAUUGUUCAGAUAACCUCACAUUGAAUUUUUUUAAAAUGAAAUUUAUGAUAAUAAAUUAUCAUAAAAAUAAAGUCAGACAAUCACAUAUUAAUGGCCAAGGAGAGUGGACAAGGAUUGCUGAUAUAUAUAUAUUUUUAAUACUAAAGGACCUACCUUCUCAUUCUCACUUUUCUUCUUUUUUUAAGAUUGCAGGAACUCGUGAUCUUUUUUCCUGUGGGUACGCAGCAGUGUUGUAAGUAACAGGCUUGAGCCAGGGGAGCUGCACCUGGUGGAUAGUUUUGGGGAACAAUUACCAGUUUCCAAAUGGCCUGCGCCAGCCAGAGUAAGGGAGCUGUAACAACUCCCCGUGAUUUACUGUGUCUGGCAGGUACCGAAUGUGUGGACACAUGAACAAAGGCACGUUUAGUUUUGCACCUGCACACACAGUAAUAUUUAGGUCUUGUGUUUAAACCAUUGAGGUAGACCGUGGGCUAGUUAGUGUUAUCCACAGUUACCACUGACCUCUUCAUGCUUUUGCACUGUUUGUUGCAUCUACUUUUCUCUUGGUUUAAGCAGCAGGACGAGCAGUAUGGAUAGUAAGUGCCUCAUCCCAAUUCAUGGAAGAUUCAUAACUCCUAACAAGGUGUCUGGACUUCCUUGGUGGAUGUUAAAUUUGCCUAAUGACCACUUAGUAAAAUACAUUUGGAUGUCGGCUCCUUUGAGGAAGAGUCCACGUAUUCAGUUUAAGUGCUGACUGCUCUGCAUACAAGCUACAUAGAAAAUCUUCUGGCUGUACAAGCAUGUUGUAUUCUUGUUCUCUUAUAUUAGAUUAAAUGUAAGCACUGAUAAAUGAAAAA